rnacentral:tRNA from 1 species
AAGGUUUUAAGUUAAAAAAACUAAUAGCCUUCAAAGCUAUAAAUAAAGACCAUCUUUAAACCUUA